GUGCAGAAUGCAUUAGAAAUCACCGAAGCGUGCAACUAGAAUGGAUGGUGGCAAUUAUCUGGGCCUUUCUGUCAGGAAAAAGGCGUGAACAACAGUCAUUUAAUUGAACCCGGAAAUCAUCCACCACUAACAGAAAACUUGUUAACAACAGAAGCUGAUGUAUAUCAUGUCCAAAUGACCAAAUAUAACUGUUAAACACUUUGAAGUGGAAUAACCGACAGUAUUCACGCCGCGAAAAAGUGGCGACAACUUUUGUUGGGCCAGUGGAACCCCUGA